rnacentral:rRNA from 1 species
GACAGAGGGGGCAAGCGUUGCUCGGAAUCACUGGGCGUAAAGGGCGCGUAGGCGGGAUGGCAAGUCGGUCGUGAAAUCCUUCGGCCCAACCGAAGAACGUCGGCCGAUACUGCCGUUCUUGAGGGAUGCAGAGGAGACUGGAAUUCCCGGUGUGGCGGUGAAAUGUGUAGAGAUCGGGAGGAACACCGGUGGCGAAGGCGACCUUCUGGACAGUGACUGACGCUGAGACGCGAAAGCGUGGGGAGCAAACAGG